UUACUACAUUGCAGGAAGAUGAUGAUUACUCCUCUUCUACAGAGUCUGAUGUGAGCAUGGGUAAAUGGGACCCCAGCCUGGAAACAAAUAGUUCUGGCAGUGAUGUGCAAGAUGAAGAUGAUGAUGUUUCAACAGAAGCUAAAUGUGAUGAAUCUAUAUCGCUGACCAAGGCUGAGGACACUCUGGGGUUUUAUAGAGAUGAA